UCAGAGGCAAGGGUUGUAAAGUUUAGGAUUUUAACUACAAUUUUUGUACAAAUUUUAUAGGGUUAGGAGUUAGGGUGAAUAAGUUAUAGCCGUUUGAAGUUAAGGUGUCAAUUUGAGACCUACUGUUACUAUUUUGAGUUUAAGAGGAGUCUUAUGGAAGCUUUUGGAGAUCGGAAGGUGCGGCAGUAAGGGCAACUUCAAGACAUACAUCUUUUGCGAAGGAAAUUUUGCAUUUGGAGUUUAUGUGAAGGAGUUAUAGGGAGUUAAAGACAAUGCAUUCAAAUCAAAGGCAGUAAGUGAGUGGUUUUGUUCAAAGUAAUGUUAGGAGCCAUAACUUGAGUUUUCGAAUGAAAUUUUGGCUAAAAAUUUGGGAGAAUGUAAAUAUUUGUGUUAAAAAGCUAUUUAUAUAAGUUUCGUGGCUUUUGGACUUAUGGUUUGUGAGAUAUGAAGAAAAUUGCGCGCGGGUAUAUAAAGAUUAGGGUUUGAAGCGACUGUUAGGAUUUUGAAGAUAUCUCAAGAUCCGCGACGAAUUUGCGGUUGAAAUUUUUUUUACAAAUUAAUAACAACAUAUCAGUACUUCAUGUAAAUUUUGAUCUUGUUUAGACGGUUGGAUCAAGAGUUAUGAGGUGUUGAGGUUCGGAAGAAUUUCCACACAAGGAUAUACAAGGUUUUAGAGUACUUAUACCAUAUUUUGGGUAUUGUUGGUUAUUUAAGACUUAAGUAUUUGGUG
rnacentral:lncRNA from 1 species